rnacentral:lncRNA from 1 species
UUAAAAGUUUAUGCUUCACUUUGAUGAGUUAUAUCCUUGAAAUUUGAUCCUAAUAAUUAUGUGUUCCUGGUUUUGUUGCAGUUUUUUUAUGUCUGGUGUGGAUUGUGUGAAUUUCAUAUUUACUAGUAGUAGUACCAUUCUGGGUGUGAUAGUGGCAUAAAUGUUUUCUCACUUUUUUGUUUUAAUUUUCGAAUCCAUCGUUUAAAAGGAAAGUAAUUUUGUAAUUGUACUCCAAAUUUUUGAAGAGGGGAUAUAAAUAUAUAUUCAAUUCUAAUUAUAAGUAAUAUUAUGAUAUUUGUGGUUCUCUUUUAUCACCCGGUUAAUUGAUUUUUGACUGGUGAAGCAGCAGGAUUCAUAAUCUCGGGCUAAGCCGACAAAGACAUUAGAACCUCUUCAUAAGGAAGAGGAGAACAGGAGGAGGAGGAUGAAAACAUCUUAUGCUAGUAAGCAUUACAGACAUGAUAAUUUCUGGAUUUUAUGUGAUUUCUAUGAGAAGUGGUAUCACAAUCACAAAAAUCGCAGAAAAUUCAAAUAUUGUCCUGGCCAUAAUGCAUACUACAUACAUUGCAUAAGAUGUUUUCAUCCUCAUCUUUCUCUGGUUCCUCUUCCUUAUCUUUAGGUUCCAAUAUCUUUGUCUGUUUAAUCUGGGGUUUUGGAGCCUACUGCUUCACCAUUCAAAAAUCAUAUUAGAAAUCUAACAAGCCAACAGCCAAGCGAUACAUGGCACAUAUCUUGUGAGUGUUGGUCAAAGAAGAGAGAAACAAGGAGAAGCAAAAGAAAAUAAAUAGUAAAUGAAAAUAAGGAAGGUUACGAGAACCUUAUGGAGAAUCUUAAGGAACGCUUAACCAUUUAUUUUCAUUUGUAUUAGCUAUAAAAGCAGUGUGUGUUUCUUUUGUAAGAAUAACAAGCAAUAAGUGAACAAGUAACAAUAACAACCAGCUAGUUACUAAGAGAAGAAAAUUCUAGUAUAGGAAUUUUUGUGAGAAAUAUUUAGAGAGAAAUAUUUCUUUGGGUGUAAUUGGGUUGUGGGUUAUGUGAGAAAAACACUUUGUACAUUUCAUUAUUAUUAAUAUUAGUGUGCUUCCGCAUUAUUUUGCUCUUCCACAAAUCUGAUAAUAUGGGGAAAUUUUGCGUAGUUUCCUAACAACUAGUAUCAGAGCCAGUUGGUUGAUUUUGCUAAUUUUCUAGCGAAUAUAUUAUUCACAUAAAUAGCAACUUUUAUGAAUAGUGCAAAAUUUGGUCGGCGUUACCAAUUUUUCAUAGAGGUGUUCUAAAUCUCGGUGAUUC